rnacentral:rRNA from 1 species
AACGAACGCUGGCGGCAUGCCUAACACAUGCAAGUCGAACGAAGUCUUCGGACUUAGUGGCGCACGGGUGCGUAACGCGUGGGAAUCUGCCCUUGGGUACGGAAUAACUCAGAGAAAUUUGUGCUAAAUACCGUAUAAUGUCUUCGGACCAAAGAUUUAUCGCCCAAGGAUGAGCCCGCGUAAGAUUAGCUAGUUGGUGGGGUAAAAGCCUACCAAGGCGACGAUCUUUAGCUGGUCUGAGAGGAUGAUCAGCCACACUGGGACUGAGACACGGCCCAGACUCCUACGGGAGGCAGCAGUGGGGAAUAUUGGACAAUGGGCGAAAGCCUGAUCCAGCAAUGCCGCGUGAGUGAUGAAGGCCUUAGGGUUGUAAAGCUCUUUUACCCGGGAUGAUAAUGACAGUACCGGGAGAAUAAGCUCCGGCUAACUCCGUGCCAGCAGCCGCGGUAAU